AUACAGAGGGUGCGAGCGUUAAUCGGAAUUACUGGGCGUAAAGCGCGCGUAGGCGGCUGAUUAAGUCAGAUGUGAAAUCCCAGGGCUCAACCUUGGAACUGCAUCUGAUACUGGUCAGCUAGAGUUUAGGAGAGGGAAGUAGAAUUUCAGGUGUAGCGGUGAAAUGCAUAGAUAUCUGAAGGAAUACCAGUGGCGAAGGCGGCUUCCUGGCCUAAAACUGACGCUGAGGUGCGAAAGCGUGGGUAGCAAACGGGAUUAGAUACCCGGGUAGUCC
rnacentral:rRNA from 1 species